rnacentral:rRNA from 1 species
UACGUAGGGUGCGAGCGUUAAUCGGAAUUACUGGGCGUAAAGCGUGCGUAGGCGGUUUUGUAAGUCAGAAGUGAAAGCCUGGGGCUCAACCUCAGAAUUGCUUUUGAGACUGCAAAGCUAGAGUAUUGGAGAGGUCAGUGGAAUUCCGGGUGUAGAGGUGAAAUUCGCAGAUAUUCGGAGGAACACCAGUGGCGAAGGCGACUGACUGGACAAUUACUGACGCUGAGGCACGAAAGCGUGGGGAUCAAACAGG